AUUGUACGCUAAUUCACAGCGUUCCCAUCCCCUCCCCCAGAUCUCACCACGCCGUUCCCAUCCCUAGCACCGACAUGCUCCUUCUUCCUCCGGCGGUGCCGACCUGCCAUGCUUCCUCCGCCGCCCCGGACCUGCCGUGCUUCUUGACGCCACCGACCUACUAUGCUUCCUCCACCAGCCGUGCGCACACAGAUCCCCCGGAUCCUCUACCUAUGAAUCUCGCGCGUCCGCACGGAUGUUGCUCCCGCGUGAGGAGACGUCGGCGGGGCAAAACUGACCGGCGGCCGGCAGAAGUAGGUGUUGGAGAUGUUGUGCGGGCCUUUUCCUCCGAAUCAAUGGUUCAUUGGUUGAUUCCACCGCUCACGGGAGCUUCCAGAACAUGCCUAGAUCUCCAAAAUGACAAGCAUUCAAAGGAAGCAAAUGAUGCUGAUACAGGUUAUAUGUUGAACUGUUGAAGAGUCGUUUGCAGCAGCUCAAUUGAGGUACAUAGUACAAGGGCUUAAGGAACCUCAGAGAAAACUCAUUACUGAGAAAGGCUUCUUCUUUGAAAAACUAGAGUUGGUAAUUCGAACUAACAUAUGUCUCAGUCUUAGUUUUACAUCUUUGUAAAGUAACAUAGUCAAUGGUCUUAACAACCAUCAUAUAUUAAUGCAUCCACAUGACCAACCUGAUGGGAUAACACUUAUUGAGGUAAUGUAUAUGAAAUUCUUUGCGUCCAAUAGAUAUGAUUUAUGUUGAAAUAACACUAAUAUUUUUCUAUGUACUGCACGUGAAAGGGUAUAUGAAAUUUCCAUGCUUCCAACAAAUAUGAUUUAUGUUGAGAUAGCACUCAUCAUUGCUUCUAAUUAAAUGUGCUUCCUAUGUACAUCAUGUUUAUUUCUUUAGUCUAGAUAGUUUGCUGCAUAUAACCAUGAGUCUCCCUUUUUGAUUUCUGGUAUUGUCAUUUUCAACACCAUUGUAAUUUAAAUGUUCUCCUCAUGCUACUUGCUAUGUUUCAGGCUUCCAAGCUGGUAGCAUGCUUCCAAUACAUGUAUGUGUUUCUUCAUUAAAGUUUGCAUAAAAAUAACCAUGCUUCCACCUGUUUUUUGCUCUUGUUUAAAUUGUAAGUAGCUGUAUUUUAAAAUUGCCCCAUGCUUCCUAUAUUUCUCACAUAUGUUGCUCAUGAUUCAAGCCAACAUAUUACCUUUUUCUUUCCCAGUGUCUACUAUUGUCUAGGUACUACGAAGCUGACAAUGAGCACGUCAAGAUCAAUGAGCACGUCAAGAUCAAGAUUAUGUUGGUCAAUGCCUCUUGUUGGAAGCACAACUUGUGGGGCGAGCGACUUCUUCACGUUAUUGGAAAAAGAGCGACGUGCUACUCCUAGUACCUCGGUUCUUUACACGGCUAUGCCAGUAGGUGUAAGCACUCCAUGAUGCAGGGAUGGUUGUUAGUGCUGGCAUUAGGUUGUUGCAGGUCAUCGAUGAGCCUCUGAUGUUCCCCAUCAACGUGCAUGUACCUUUACCAUGAGAGGUGGACGGUGGCCAUUUUGCCCGAUGACACAAACCACAUUUAUGUUUUUUAUCGUAUGUAGAAUCAAAAUCUGAUACUACUAGAAGCAGAAGGAAUGUUAUUUCGAACAAAAUUAUGUCCGCCGGAGGUAGCAGUGAUGAUAGAAACAAAUUUGUUUCAUUAGAAGCA